rnacentral:rRNA from 1 species
AUGUUGGGUAGUCCGCACGAGCGCACCCUUAUCCUUAUUUGCCAGCGCGUAGUGGCGGGAACUUUAAGGAGACUGCCGGUGAUAAACCGGAGGAAGGUGGGGACGACGUCAAGUCAUCAUGGCCCUUACGGGAUGGGCUACACACGUGCUACAAUGGCAGGUACAGAGGGCAGCAAUACCGCGAGGUGGAGCGAAUCCCACAAAGCUUGUCGUAGUCCGGAUUGGAGUCUGCAACUCGACUCCAUGAAGUCGGAAUCGCUAGUAAUCGUAGAUCAGAAUGCUACGGUGAAUACGUUCCCGGGCCUUGUACACACCGCCCGUCACACCAUGGGAGUGGGAUGCAAAAGAAGUGGCUAGUUUAACCUUUCGGGGAGGACGGUCACCACUUUGUGUGUCAUGACUGGGGUGAAGUCGUAACAAGGUAACCCUAGGGGAACCUGGGGUUGGAUCACCUCCUUAUCUU